UACGUAUGGUGCAAGCGUUAUCCGGAUUUACUGGGCGUAAAGGGAGCGCAGGCGGCGCGCCAAGUCUGAUGUGAAACCCCGGGGCUCAACCCCGGGCAUGCUUUGGAAACUGGCGGGCUGGAGUGCCGGAGAGGUAAGCGGAAUUCCUAGUGUAGCGGUGAAAUGCGUAGAUAUUAGGAGGAACACCAGUGGCGAAGGCGGCUUACUGGACGGCAACUGACGCUGAGGCUCGAAAGCGUGGGGAGCAAACAGG
rnacentral:rRNA from 1 species